rnacentral:piRNA from 2 species
CCCCCUUUUAAAAGCACUCAAUGGGCC